CUGCCCCUUAUCAGGUGUUUAAGUAGUUAAUUCAUAACACUUCUCUUUCCCAUCUAAGUUUGAAACCAAUUAAAAGUAGACACAGAAGUGAGAGAUUGAAAAUAUUAGCUUUAUUUCUGGUGAAAGUUGAAUUAAAGACAUACAACCAAGUGGACUUGCUAAUAGUUGCUGAGCUAGUCAGAUUUACCUACCCAGCCAUAGGCAGCACUAAACAGGUGCAUAUCUCACCCACAGGUAUAGAGCAUAUUUUGCUAAGUCGUAGCAUGGUGGAGACUGCAAACCAGAAUGUAUCCUCUCUGCAAGCAGUCAUGCCCAAAAUGUACAAGAGUGGCUAAUCCACAAAUGCCCAAUUCCCUCUUCCAAACUCUUCAAUCAGAUAAGUCACUCUCCUGCCCUCAGUGGAGGGGGUGGGGGGAAAGGAAGAAGCUCACAUCUUCUUCUAAUAAAAAUUCCUCACCAUGGAAACAUGUUGAGUAGGAAAUAAAUAUUUCCCUGCCUAGCACUUACUAGUUCAGCUCUAUAAGAAUAAAAAAGCACUAGACACACACAUACAAACACACACACACACACACACACACACACACACACACACACAUUUGGAGAUUUCCCAAUCCGAAGUGAGGUAAUUCUAGGAGGGCCUAGAUGAUAGAAAAUCUAGAGGAGGAACUCCCCACAAAGAAGUAUCUAACUGAGAUAAUCUUCUUACAGGACUAAGCACAUUUUCUGGCAUGUGGUAAGUGGUCAAUUCGUCUUCUAAGCUCCUAUCAUCAUCAUCAUGGCUGUUGUUCUAUACUUAUCUAUAAUUCCCUUUCUGUAUGAAAACACAAAACAAAUAAGAGCAAAUCUAUUAGAAUGAAUUCCUGGCCAAGUCUUGUCCAGAGGACAGAAACAAUUUACAUUUCAUAGCACUGUUAAGUUUUCCAAAGCAAUUAAACAUAUAUCACUUGAUUCUCAGAACAAACCUGGUAAGGCAGAUAUUACAAUGGAAAUUGCAUCUUGUGCAGGAGUUAGACUCUAAAGAAACAUGUAAGGUAAAACUCAAAUAUAAUAAAAAUUAGCCACAAAAUUUUUUAAAUUUGCCUGUACAGUAUACAAGCAUACCAUAUCUCCAUUAAUCUAAAUAGCUAGCUUUUCCUUUGGUUGAGCUAUAGAUGUAAUAGCUAAUUUGCAACCUGGGCAACAUAGCGAGAUUCUGUCUCUACAAAAAUUAGCCCGGUGUGGCAGUGCACAUGUAUUGUCCCAGCUACUUGGGAGGAUUGUUUGUCUGGGAGGUUGAGGCUGCAGUGAGCCAUGAUCAUGCCACUGCACUCUAGCUUGGGUGACAGAGUGAGACUCUGUCAAAAGAAAUGAAUGAAAGAAAGAAAGUAAAGAAAGAAAGAAAGAAAGAAAGAAAGAAAGAAAGAAAGAAAGAAAGAAAGAAAAGAAAAGAAAGAAGAAAGAAAGAAAGAAAGAGGGAAGGGAAGGGAAGGAAGGAAAAAGAAAAAAAGAAAUAGCUGACUUGCAUUUAGAGGCUAUAUUGCACAAAAAUUGAGGGUAGUAUAUUUAAACACCAACACUUUUGGCAGCAAGAUACCCACAUUGUAAAAAGUAUAAGAGAGCCAAGUGCAGUGGUUCACACCUGUAACCCCAGCACUUUGGGAGGCUGAGGCAGGUGGAUCACCUGAGGUCAGGAGUUCGAGACCAGCCUAGCCAAUAUGGUGAAACCCCAUCUCUACUAAAAAAUUCAAAAAACUGGCCAGGCUUGGUGGUGGGUGCCUGUAAUCCCAGCUAAUUGGGAGGCUGAGGCAGGAGAAGUGCUUGAACCUGGGAGGCGGAGGUUGCAGUGAGCCGAGAUCGCGCCAUUGCACUCCAGCCUGGGCCACAAGAGCGAAACUCCAUCUCAAAAAAAAAAAAAAAGAAAGAAAGAAAGAAAGAAAAGGAUAAGAGAACUGACACUAACUAUGGAAACAGCAAUUUGUGCCACCCUUGCCUCACUUCCCUGCAUCUCAUGCCCAUUAAGUAGAAUUCAGGGUAGCUUCACAUUUAAGUGGAUUUUCAUUCUCUCUCUCUCUUAUUUUUUUUAUUUAUUUUUUCUUUAGUUUUCUGGUGAGAGCUGGAAAACCUGCUAGACUAAUUCUAAAAGAGCUGUAACACUGCUUUUUAAAUGAUGUUUGGUUUAAUGGGAGUAAGCUAAACAGAUAUGUAAUAUGUCUC
rnacentral:lncRNA from 1 species